rnacentral:rRNA from 1 species
ACUCGAGUGGCGAACGGGUGAGUAACACGUGGGUGAUCUGCCCUGCACUUCGGGAUAAGCUUGGGAAACUGGGUCUAAUACCGGAUAGGAGCCAUCUUUAGUGUGGUGGUUGGAAAGUUUUUUCGGUGUAGGAUGAGCUCGCGGCCUAUCAGCUUGUUGGUGGGGUAAUGGCCUACCAAGGCGGCGACGGGUAGCCGGCCUGAGAGGGUGUACGGCCACAUUGGGACUGAGAUACGGCCCAGACUCCUACGGGAGGCAGCAGUGGGGAAUAUUGCACAAUGGGCGCAAGCCUGAUGCAGCGACGCCGCGUGGGGGAUGAAGGCCUUCGGGUUGUAAACUCCUUUCGCUAGGGACGAAGCUUUGUUGUGACGGUACCUAGAUAAGAAGCACCGGCUAACUACGUGCCAGCAGCCGCGGUAAUACGUAGGGUGCGAGCGUUGUCCGGAAUUACUGGGCGUAAAGGGCUCGUAGGUGGUUUGUCGCGUCGUCUGUGAAAUUCUGGGGCUUAACUCCGGGCGUGCAGGCGAUACGGGCAUAACUUGAGUGCUGUAGGGGUAACUGGAAUUCCUGGUGUAGCGGUGAAAUGCGCAGAUAUCAGGAGGAACACCGAUGGCGA